CUCCACCGCUUGUGUGAGCCCCCGUCAACUCCUUUGAGUUUCAGCCUUGCGACCAUACUCCCCAGGCGGGGUNCUUAACACUUUUGCUUCGGCAGUGAACCCAUGUUAAGUCCACUACCUAGUACCCAUCGUUUAGGGCUAGGACUACCGGGGUAUCUAAUCCCGUUCGCUCCCCUAGCUUUCGCGCCUCAGCGUCAGAAGAGGUCCAGCACGUCGCUUUCGCCACCGGCGUUCCUUCCGAUAUCAACGCAUUUCACCGCUCCACCGGAAGUUCCACAUGCCCCUACCUCGCUCAAGACGGCCAGUAUCAAAGGCUAUUUUCCGGUUAAGCCGAAAGAUUUCACCCCUGACUUGGCCACCCGCCUACGCGCCCUUUAAGCCCAGUGAUUCCGAACAACGUUUGCACGGUUCGUCUUACCGCGGCUGCUGGCACGAACUUAGCCCGUGCUUCCUCCAG
rnacentral:rRNA from 1 species